UAAGAAGGGCCAGUGGUAAACGUAGUUAGAGCAGGGCAGGUGGGAAAGGAAGGUGGGCAGGUGUCACACAGCGCGCCUGGCUACUGCACUAGUAGAAUGCCGCGGGUGGUGACACGUCAGCGCCACGGCUACUAGGAUAGUGGACACAGCGCGCCUGGCUACUGCACUAGUAGAAUGCUGCGAGUGGUGACCCGUAAGCGCCGCGGCUACUAGCUUAGUGGACACAGCGCGCCUGGCUACUGCACUAGUAGAAUGCCGCGGGUGGUGACAUGUCAGCGCCGCGGCUACUUGCUUUGUGGACACAGCGCGCCUGGCUACUGCACUAGUAGAAUGCCGCGGGUGGUGACACGUCAGCGCCGCGGUACUAGGAUAGUGGGCACACUGCGCCUGGCUACUGCACUAGUAGAAUGCCGCGGGUGGUGAAUGUGAGCGCCGGGUACUAGGUUACUGGACACAGCGCGCCUGGCUACUGCACUAGUAGAAUGCCGCGGGUGGUGACACGUCAGCGCCGCGGCUACUAGGAUAGUGGACACAGCGCGCCUGGCUACUGCACUAGUAGAAUGCCGCGGGUGGUCACAUGUCAGCGCCGCGGCUACUAGCUUAGUGGACACAGCGCGCCUGGCUACUGCACUAGUAGAAUGCCGCGGGUGGUCACAUGUCAGCGCCGCGGCUACUAGCUUAGUGGACACAGCGCGCCUGGCUACUGCACUAGUAGAAUGCCGCGGGUGGUGACAUGUCAGCGCCGCGGCUACUACCUUACUGGACACAGUGCGCCUGGCUACGGCACUAGUAGAAUGCCGCGGGUGGUCACAUGUCAGCUCCACGGCUACUAGGAUACUGGACACAGUGCGCCUGGCUACGGCACUAGUAGAAUGCCGCGGGUGGUCACAUGUCAGCUCCACGGCUACUAGGAUAGUGGACACAGCGCGCCUGGCUACUGCACUAGCAGAAUGCCGCGGGUGGUGACAUGUGAGCGCCGCGGUACUAGGAUAGUGGACACAGUGCGCCUGGCUACUGCACUAGUAGAAUGCCGCGGGUGGUGACAUGUCAGCGCCGCGGCUACUAGCAUAGUGGGCACAGCGCGCCUGGCUACUGCACUAGUAGAAUGCCGCGGGUGGUGACAUGUGAGCGCCGCGGCUACUAGCAUAGUGGACACAGCGCGCCUGGCUACUGCACUAGUAGAAUGCCGCGGGUGGUGACAUGUCAGCGCCGCGGCUACUACCUUAGUGGACACAGCGCGCCUGGCUACUGCACUAGUAGAAUGCCGCGGGUGGUGCCAUGUCAGCGCCGCGGCUACUACCAUAGUGGGCACACUGCGCCUGGCUACUGCACUAGUAGAAUGCCGCGGGUGGUGACAUGUGAGCGCCGCGGUACUAGGAUAGUGGACACAGCGCCCCUGGCUACUGCACUAGUAGAAUGCCGCGGGUGGUGACAUGUGAGCGCCGCGGCUACUAGCUUACUGGACACAGCGCGCCUGGCUACUGCACUAGUAGAAUGCCGCGGGUGGUCACAUGUGAGCGCCGCGGCUACUACCUUACUGGACACAGUGCGCCUGGCUACUGCACUAGUAGAAUGCCGCGGGUGGUGACAUGUCAGCGCCACGGCUACUAGGAUAGUGGACACAGCGCGCCUGGCUACUGCACUAGUAGAAUGCCGCGGGUGGUGACAUGUGAGCGCCGCGGCUACUACCUUACUGGACACAGCGCGCCUGGCUACUGCACUAGUAGAAUGCCGCGGGUGGUGACACGUCAGCGCCACGGCUACUAGGAUAGUGGACACAGCGCGCCUGGCUACUACACUAGUAGAAUGCCGCGGGUGGUCACAUGUCAGCUCCACGGCUACUAGGAUAGUGGACACAGCGCGCCUGGCUACUGCACUAGUAGAAUGCCGCGGGUGGUGACACGUCAGCGCCGCGGUACUAGGUUAGUGGACACAGCGCGCCUGGCUACUGCACUAGUAGAAUGCCGCGGGUGGUGACACGUCAGCGCCGCGGCUACUAGCUUACUGGACACAGCGCGCCUGGCUACUGCACUAGUAGAAUGCCGCGGGUGGUGACACGUCAGCGCCGCGGCUACUAGGAUAGUGGACACAGCGCGCCUGGCUACUACACUAGUAGAAUGCCGCGGGUGGUGACACGUCAGCGCCGCGGCUACUAGGAUAGUGGACACAGCGCGCCUGGCUACUGCACUAGCACAAUGCCGCGGGUGGUGACACGUCAGCGCCACGGCUACUAGGAUAGUGGACACAGCGCGCCUGGCUACUGCACUAAUAGAAUGCCGCGGGUGGUGACACGUCAGCGCCGCGGCUGCUAGCUUAGUUGACACAGCGCGCCUGGCUACUGCACUAGUAGAAUGCUGCGGGUGGUGACACGUCAGCUCCACGGCUACUAGGAUAGUGGACACAGCGCGCCUGGCUACUGCACUAGUAGAAUGCCGCGGGUGGUGACACGUCAGCGCCGCGGCUGCUAGCUUGUGGACACAGCGCGCCUGGCUACUGCACUAGUAGAAUGCCGCGGGUGGUGACACGUCAGCGCCGCGGCUGCUAGGAUAGUGGACACAGCGCGCCUGGCUACUACACUAGUAGAAUGCCGCGGGUGGUGACACGUCAGCGCCGCGGCUACUACCUUAGUGGACACAGCGCGCCUGGCUACUGCACUAGUAGAAUGCCGCGGGUGGUCACAUGUCAGCGCCGCGGCUACUAGCUUAGUGGACACAGCGCGCCUGGCUACUGCACUAGUAGAAUGCCGCGGGUGGUGACACGUCAGCGCCACGGCUACUAGCAUAGUGGACACAGCGCGCCUGGCUACUACACUAGUAGAAUGCCGCGGGUGGUGACAUGUCAGCGCCGCGGCUGCUAGCUUAGUGGACAUAGCGCGCCUGGCUACUGCACUAGUAGAAUGCCGCGGGUGGUGACAUGUGAGCGCCGCGGCUACUACCUUACUGGACACAGUGCGCCUGGCUACUGCACUAGUAGAAUGCCGCGGGUGGUCACAUGUCAGCUCCACGGCUACUAGGAUAGUGGACACAGCGAGCCUGGCUACUGCACUAGUAGAAUGUUGCGGGUGGUGACACGUCAGCGCCACGGUACUAGGAUAGUGGACACAGCGCGCCUGGCUACUACACUAGUAGAAUGCN
rnacentral:lncRNA from 1 species